GAUGAAGAACGUAGUGAAAUGCGAUACGUAAUGUGAAUUGCAGAAUUCAGUGAAUCAUCGGGUCUUUGAACGCACAUUGCGCCCCCUGGUAUUCCGGGGGGCAUGCCUGUCCGAGCGUCAUUGCUGCCCUCAAGCACGGCUUGUGUGUUGGGCCUCCGUCCUCCUCCCGGGGGACGGGCCCGAAAGGCAGCGGCGGCACCGCGUCCGGUCCUCGAGCGUAUGGGGCUUCGUCACCCGCUCUUGUAGGCCCGGCCGGCGCUUGCCGACACAUCAAUCUUUUUUCCAGGUUGACCUCGGAUCAGGUAGGGAUACCCGCUGAACUUAAGCAUAUCAAUAAGCGGAGGA
rnacentral:misc_RNA from 1 species